UGGGCAAAUGGGAAUUAAUGCUCUAACCUUUGGGGAUGCAUACCCAUCAUUCAACACAGGACUGAGAACGAGUCAGAUGUGAUGAAUAAUGAAGAUUUUAAUACUUGAAAACUACAACAACGUUCACAUUAAAGAUAGACUGAAAACAAUAAAAAUGCUAAGCUCUAAAUUAAUGCCCCAACUAAUAGCAGACGGCAAAGAUCAAGUUUAAUAAUAGGCACGAUCAUUGAAAGUUAGAAAGGCCCUCGUGAUAAAAUUGCUAAGCUAAAUGUGACAAAUGUCUUAAAUGAAACUGAUUAACAAAUAACAAAAGUUAGAAAUAGAAGUGCAAACAAUUAUUAAUUAAGUGUAACAAUUAACGAAAGUUAGAAAUGGCCUGGUCCACCAUGAAAACCAUGACGGGGUUCUUCAAGGGUUUUCAAAUUGGCACCACAUUUAUUCAAUUUUCCCACCAUGUCUUGAUAACCACGCUGGAUUAAUUCAAAUUUUCGUACCACUGUUGAGCCUUGGGCAAUCAGACCAGCAAGGACUAAGGCCGCUCCGCCCCGGAGAUCUGUAGCCUCAACACGAGUCCCGUUCAGCAUUGAACCU